rnacentral:rRNA from 1 species
GUUAAUGAUUUUAGGUGCUUGCACUUGAAAGAUUUAACAUUGAGACGAGUGGCGAACUGGUGAGUAACACGUGGGUAACCUGCCCUUGAAGUAGGGGAUAACACUUGGAAACAGGUGCUAAUACCGUAUAACAACCAAAACCACCUGGUUUUGGUUUAAAAGACGGCUUCGGCUGUCACUUUAGGAUGGACCCGCGGCGUAUUAGCUUGUUGGUAAGGUAACGGCUUACCAAGGCGAUGAUACGUAGCCGACCUGAGAGGGUAAUCGGCCACAUUGGGACUGAGACACGGCCCAAACUCCUACGGGAGGCAGCAGUAGGGAAUCUUCCACAAUGGACGAAAGUCUGAUGGAGCAACGCCGCGUGAGUGAUGAAGGGUUUCGGCUCGUAAAACUCUGUUGUUGGAGAAGAACAGGUGUCAGAGUAACUGUUGACAUCUUGACGGUAUCCAACCAGAAAGCCACGGCUAACUACGUGCCAGCAGCCGCGGUAAUACGUAGGUGGCAAGCGUUGUCCGGAUUUAUUGGGCGUAAAGCGAGCGCAGGCGGUUUUUUAGGUCUGAUGUGAAAGCCUUCGGCUUAACCGGAGAAGUGCAUCGGAAACCGGGAGACUUGAGUGCAGAAGAGGACAGUGGAACUCCAUGUGUAGCGGUGAAAUGCGUAGAU